UAAUCUCAGCUGGCAACUGUGAGUGCUUAAUGGUUUCCCCCACAGUGGUUGCUGGGAUUAUG
rnacentral:pre_miRNA from 1 species